rnacentral:rRNA from 1 species
ACUGAACGCUGGCGGCAGGCCUAACACAUGCAAGUCGAACGGUAGCACAGAGGAGCUUGCUCCUUGGGUGACGAGUGGCGGACGGGUGAGUAAUGUCUGGGAAACUGCCCGAUGGAGGGGGAUAACUACUGGAAACGGAAGCUAAUACCGACUACCGUCGCACGAACAAAGAGGGGGACCUUCGGGCGUCUUGCCACUGGAUGUGACCAGAUGUGAUUAUCUAGUAGGUGGGGUAACGGCUCACCUAGGCGACGAUCACUAGCUGGUCUGAGAGGAUGACCAGCCACACUGGAACUGAGACACGGUCCAGACUCCUACGGGAGGCAGCAGUGGAGAAUAUUGCACAAUGGGAGCAAGCCUGACGCAGCCAUGCCGCGUGUAUGAAGAAGGCCUUCGGGUUGUAAAGUACUUUCAGCGAGGAGGAAGGCGUUGUGGUUAAUAACCGCAGCGAUUGACGUUACUCGCAGAAGAAGCACCGGCUAACUCCGUGCCAGCCGCCGCCGUAACAC